rnacentral:rRNA from 1 species
UGGGGAAUAUUGGGCAAUGGAGGAAACUCUGACCCAGCGACGCCGCGUGCGGGAUGAAGGCCUUCGGGUUGUAAACCGCUUUCAGUAGGGAAGAAGCGAAAGUGACGGUACCUACAGAAGAAGCACCGGCUAACUAUGUGCCAGCAGCCGCGGUAAUACAUAGGGUGCAAGCGUUGUCCGGAAUUAUUGGGCGUAAAGAGCUCGUAGGUGGGUCGUUACGUCGGAUGUGAAAAUCAGGGGCUCAACCCCUGACCUGCAUCCGAUACGGUCGAGCUAGAGUUUGGUAGGGGAGACUGGAAUUCCUGGUGUAGCGGUGAAAUGCGCAGAUAUCAGGAGGAACACCGGAGGCGAAGGCGGGUCUCUGGGCCAUAACUGACGCUGAGGAGCGAAAGCGUGGGGAGCAAACA